rnacentral:rRNA from 1 species
CCUACGGGUGGCAGCAGUAGGGAAUCUUCCGCAAUGGGCGAAAGCCUGACGGAGCAACGCCGCGUGAGUGAUGAAGGCCUUCGGAUCUUAAAACUCUGUUUUUAGGGAAGAACCAAUGGGCAAGUAACUAUGCACGGCUUGACGGUACCUAAUCAGAAACCCACGGCUAAAUACGUGCCAGCCGCCGCCGUAAUACGUAGGUGGCAAGCGUUAUCCGGAAUUGUUGGGCGGUAAGCGCGCGUAGGCGGUUUUUUAAGUCUGAGGGGAAAGGCGACGGCGCAAACGUGGAGGGUGAUUUGAAACUGGAAAACUUGAGUGCAGGAGAGGAAAGUGGAAUUCGAUGUGUAGCGGUGAAAUGCGUAGAGAUAAGGAGGAACACCAGUGGCGAAGGCGGCUUUCUGGUCUGUAACUGACGCUGAUGUGCGAAAGCGUGGGGAUCAAACAGGAUUAGAUACCCCGGUAGUC